rnacentral:tRNA from 1 species
GCCAGUGUGGCAUAGUGGUUUGAGCGCUGGACUACAACUCUGGAGACCAUGGUUCAAUUCCCUGGCUUGGCU